ensembl:snoRNA U3 Small nucleolar RNA U3
AAUACUAUACUUUCAGGGAUCAUUUCUGUAGUUCAUUACUAGAGAAGUUUCUCUGAUUGUGUAGAGUACCAGAAACCAUGAGGAGGAGGCAUACUGUUCCCUUCUGAGCGUUUUUGGUGUUGCUUUGCUGCAACUGCCUAUUGCAAUUAAUGAUUGUUCUUCUCUCCUCUUUGGAGAGCAAGAGGAAGGGAACACAGUCUGAGUGGU